GUCGAGGGGUAACAGGAGAGCUUGCUCUUGCUGACGACCGGCGCACGGGUGCGUAACGCGUAUACAAUCUGCCUCAUACUGGGGGAUAGCCUUUGGAAACGAAGAUUAAUACCCCAUAAUAUCUUAGUAUUGCAUGAUACCUAGAUUAAAGGUUACGGUAUGAGAUGAGUAUGCGUCCUAUUAGCUAGAUGGUGUGGUAACGGCACACCAUGGCAACGAUAGGUAGGGGCCCUGAGAGGGGGAUCCCCCACACUGGUACUGAGACACGGACCAGACUCCUACGGGAGGCAGCAGUGAGGAAUAUUGGACAAUGGAGGGAACUCUGAUCCAGCCAUGCCGCGUGCAGGAAGACUGCCCUAUGGGUUGUAAACUGCUUUUGUAUGGGAAGAAACACUCCUUCGUGAAGGAGCUUGACGGUACCAUAAGAAUAAGCAUCGGCUAACUCCGUGCCAGCAGCCGCGGUAAUACGGAGGAUGCAAGCGUUAUCCGGAAUCAUUGGGUUUAAAGGGUCCGUAGGUGGAUUUGUAAGUCAGAGGUGAAAUCCUGCAGCUUAACUGUAGAACUGCCUUUGAUACUGCUAAUCUUGAGUCAUUAUGAAGUAGUUAGAAUAUGUAGUGUAGCGGUGAAAUGCAUAGAUAUUACAUAGAAUACCAAUUGCGAAGGCAGAUUACUAAUAAUGUACUGACACUGAUGGACG
rnacentral:rRNA from 1 species